rnacentral:rRNA from 1 species
CAGCAGCCGCGGUAAUACGUAGGGUGCAAGCGUUAAUCGGAAUUACUGGGCGUAAAGCGUGCGCAGGCGGUUCGUUAAGACAGAUGUGAAAUCCCCGGGCUUAACCUGGGAACUGCAUUUGUGACUGGCGAGCUAGAGUAUGGCAGAGGGGGGUAGAAUUCCACGUGUAGCAGUGAAAUGCGUAGAGAUGUGGAGGAAUACCGAUGGCGAAGGCAGCCCCCUGGGCCAAUACUGACGCUCAUGCACGAAAGCGUGGGGAGCAAACAGGAUUAGAUACCCCAGUAGUCCCUGUCUCUUAUAC